UACGUAGGGUGCAAGCGUUGUCCGGAAUUAUUGGGCGUAAAGAGCUCGUAGGCGGUGUGUCGCGUCGGACGUGAAAUCCCUCGGCUUAACCGGGGAACUGCGUCCGAUACUGGAUGGCUUGAGAUCGGGAGAGGGAUGCGGAAUUCCACGUGUAGCAGUGAAAUGCGUAGAGAUGUGGAGGAACACCGAUGGCGAAGGCAGCCCCCUGGGUCAAGAUUGACGCUCAUGCACGAAAGCGUGGGGAGCAAACAGG
rnacentral:rRNA from 1 species